UACGGGGGGGGCAAGCGUUGUUCGGAAUUACUGGGCGUAAAGGGCUCGUAGGCGGCCAACUAAGUCAGACGUGAAAUCCCUCGGCUUAACCGGGGAACUGCGUCUGAUACUGGAUGGCUUGAGUGUGGGAGAGGGAUGCGGAAUUCCAGGUGUAGCGGUGAAAUGCGUAGAUAUCUGGAGGAACACCGGUGGCGAAGGCGACAUCCUGGACCACGACUGACGCUGAGGCGCGAAAGCGUGGGGAGCAAACAGG
rnacentral:rRNA from 1 species